rnacentral:rRNA from 1 species
UACAGAGGUCUCAAGCGUUGUUCGGAUUCAUUGGGCGUAAAGGGUGCGUAGGCGGCGCGGUAAGUCGGGUGUGAAAUCUCGGAGCUUAACUCCGAAACUGCAUUCGAUACUGCCGUGCUUGAGGACUGGAGAGGAGACUGGAAUUUACGGUGUAGCGGUGAAAUGCGUAGAUAUCGUAAGGAAGACCAGUGGCGAAGGCGGGUCUCUGGACAGUUCCUGACGUGAGGCACGAAGGUCAGGGGAGUAAACGGG